UUUUAUGGAGAGUUUGAUCCUGGCUCAGGAUGAACGCUGGCGGCGUGCCUAAUACAUGCAAGUCGAGCGAACUGACGAGGAGCUUGCUCCUUUGACGUUAGCGGCGGACGGGUGAGUAACACGUGGGUAACCUACCUAUAAGACUGGAAUAACUCCGGGAAACCGGGGCUAAUGCCGGAUAACAUGUUGAACCGCAUGGUUCAACAGUGAAAGACGGUCUUGCUGUCACUUAUAGAUGGACCCGCGCCGUAUUAGCUAGUUGGUAAGGUAACGGCUUACCAAGGCGACGAUACGU
rnacentral:rRNA from 1 species